CCAGCUGGCCAUUCAUUUGGGCAUGUGCACCUUUCUCUUUCAUCCCACACACACCUAGUGAACCUGUGAGACAGAUGGGGAAUUUACUUGUUGCUUUUUGGAAUACAAAGGCAAUAGGUUAUUGGACCCUCUGUCUACUCAAUUAAUAUAAACUCAAUUUAUUUUAAAACGAAUGUAAUGGAUGUAACACAUBUCAUACUAAGUUUCAACAACGGAUCUCUUGGCUCUCGCAUCGAUGAAGAACGCAGCGAAAUGCGAUAAGUAAUGUGAAUUGCAGAAUUCAGUGAAUCAUCGAAUCUUUGAACGCACCUUGCGCUCCUUGGUAUUCCUUGGAGCAUGCCUGUUUGAGUAUCAUGAAUUCUUCAAAGUAAAUCUUUUGUUAACUCAAUUGGUUUCACUUUGGUAUUGAGGUCUUUUGCAGCUUCACACCUGCUCCUCUUUGUGCAUUAGCUGGAUCUCAGUGUUAUGCUUGGUUCCACUCGGCGUGAUAAAUUAUCUAUCGCUGAGGACACUGUAAAAGGUGGCCAAGGUUAAUGCASAUGGCCGCUUCUAAUAGUCCAUUGACUUGGACAAUACCUUUAGGCUGGGUCUCCCCCGAAA
rnacentral:rRNA from 1 species